AAAGCUAUAUAGUAGUUUAUUUAGCAGAUCUUCUCUGUGCUAGGUUUUCAGAAACAACAAAUAAGGACCUUACAGUUUUAGGCAAACCCAAAUAUGUUACAGUAUUGUACGUGUUGUUAAAAAAUAUAAUGAAAUUCUAUGGAGGUGAUUAUUCCUAGGGUAGCUGAUGAAGACUUCACACGAGCAGUGACAUGGGACUCUCCAAAAUGAGAAGACAGAGAAGGACCUUUGAAAUUCAUGUGUAAAGUCUGGAGAUAAGUGCAUCUCAGAUCUAGGGAGAGAGAGUCUGACGGAGUACCCUCUGCCUGGAAGUCCAAGCAAGGCUACAAUGCAGGGGAUGGAUAGUUUUCCACAGGAAAAGCUUAUGGCACUUCAGCCACCUCGCUGUAGGAGCAGGCCUUUGCAGCAGAGAGAACAUCCUGGCAGCAACUAUAACAUCUGCCCGAAGAAGCUGACCCAUCCCAAUCCUUCCCAGGCUAUGUAUGCUAAGUGUUGAGU